CGGAAGCUGAGAAGUAAUAAUACUGACGCGUUUUAAUUGGCUGGCCCGUGUAUUAUCACACUGAUUACACCUCGUUACAAGAUGACAUGAUUUAAAUGAGAAAGAGAUGGAGAGAUUGGAAGAUUGCAACAAUUCCGCUGGGGAUAAAUCAACCUUGUUGUUGCUGCUUCAAACACGCGCGCGACUGUCCUGAUCAUCCGUGCACGCUAAUAAUGCUAUACGCUGUCAAAAACGAAUCUCAGAUCACCUUACCAAUCGAUGGUCUCCUGUCCUCCAGUUCAGCAGUCCAUGGCCUCCUCCCUUCCAGUUCAACAAUGAAUGUCUUCCUCUCCUUCAACGUACCAGUUGAUGGUCUCCUGUCCUCCAACCUACUUUACUACUUCUAGCUACACUGUAUAUCAUUCUGUCAUCAUGUUUAGUGUUGCCGGUAAGCCAG